UAUUUUCUUCUGGAUCAGUGCCUAGCUGAACUAUUCUCCUAGAAUUUUUCCACUAAAGUAGGAUCUCAGGCAGACAUCUGGCCUGGAAAAUUUCUGCCCAUUUAGCUUGGCAAGGUUAAAAAAAUAGUAAAAAAGGUGUUACAAUGUGAAGUGUCUGACAACAUUACUAAUGGAUGGUGCCAACCAAUAUGCAUAAGGGUCAAUAAUAAUUGUAUUAUGUAUGCAUACACAAAUGAAGCUCAGUGCAGACUCCCAAAUGGACUAAUCACAUGAUUUGUAGGCACUUUUGGGCAAGCCUAAUGGGAAACCUUGCUCUUUGAAUUAGUCAGAGUGAGAGCUUUUACCACUAUGUGCAAUGUUUGUUAGUGAAGGGUUUUUCUGUGGGCUGCCGAGCGCAAUGUGCAUACAAGCCUCUCUAAACGCUCAUCCACUGUUGUUAAGAAGAUGACAGGCUUCCUAUCCUAAAGGAGGAUUUUUCUGUUCAUGUUAUUUCCCUUGGAGGUAUAAAAGUGUACUAAGUAAAGCUACAGCAACUUAUGGAAAUCUGCUGUUUGCAUGGUCCUUGGUUUCCUUUGGUAGCGCAGUCUGUGUAACAGGCUCUCAUUUCUCCAGCUCUCUCACAGUUUCUUCUCCCUCAUUGUCACCCUGGCAGUGAAGUUGAGUAAGUUCCUCUUCACAACCAAAUCUCUAGCUAUCAAUCGAUUUAUGAUUGUUUGUGUAUCAUAUGAACAAAAUAUCUGUUCAAAUUAUUCUAAACUUUGCUUCGAGACUUGUGACAAAGGAUGAGUAGUAACGGCUUCCUGAACAUAUUAUCUUGUCUGAAAGAAAAAGAGGCGAGGCGAGGAGAGAAAAAAGAAGCCGCCUACAUGACUUCACCAAAAUUAAGUGUUACUUGCCCUGUAGCUGUUUUGAUUAAAUGGUCUUGGGACAGUACUUGGGACCCCAUUACUUGGGAUAAUGGUUAUUUUUUAUGUUCCUGGCUUAAAGGCUUUUCAGAAAUGCUGAGUACAUAAUAGCCUCUUCUUCUAAAUUUAUAUGGGCUUGUUAGUGGAAAAUGAUCUGAAGUAACCAAGAUAAAGGCAUUGCAAUGUAUCUUCAUUGGAAAAGAACUAAUUUAUGUAAGAUAAAUGAAUUAAGUCUGGUUUAAACUCUAUUAUUUAUUUCUAUUCAACCUAAAACUUGAGUGGUCACCUUUUAGCAACAAAGUCCAUUUCAUAAUAGCAAGGUCUGGUUUUGAGUCUUUAAGAUAUUUUUGUUUUCUGUAGAACAGGCCUAUAGCUCCUGAUGAUUCUCUGAUGAGGGCUGUAUUUGUAAGAUAUGUUACUCUGGCAUUCUAAUCUGAGAGAAGCUUCCUAAAUUUGUUCAGCAAAACCUUAUUUAUCUUUUUUUUUUUUUACUUUCUAGUGAAUUCUCACUUAUAUGGUGAUUCUCACAGAAAGUGAGUCACAGCAAUUUCAUGAAACAUUGUGUGCGUAACUACAUUUCAGCGAAAUUUUGUUCUCAUGUCCAUGCUUAUUUUAAUUAUUAAAAUAGUUAUUUUCCUAUUACUUUUGUCCACUUUUUGACAUAUAAUUCAUGUCAGUUAGAUUUUCAAUACACUGGAAUGGAGAUUGAAAUUUGUAAUUACUUGUCUGAGAUUCUGGGUACAUAUCUUAAAACCAUAAAAAAAAAUGCAAACCAACAAAAGGGUAAUAAACCCAAACUAAAAAGUGGAGACUAGAUUUCUUUUUAAAGGCAUACUAGUAGAAAGCAGGAGGCUUGCAUACAAAUCCCAGCAUUAUCUCAGAUUUACUGGGUGACCUUGGACAGGUCAUCGGGGCCCUGAAUUAAUGCAAAGGGCUGUAGACCUUUCUUUUGGCUGUAAUGCCAUCCUGAACAGGAGUGGGAUUACUCAUGUAUGUGCUUAAGGGUUUUGCUGAACAAUGGCCUUAAUCUCUCCAUGCACCCACAUGCUGCCCACACCAGCAUGGAUAGCACUGCCUUUUCCCAACUCCACCCUCUUGUUCAGGUUUCAAGCUUUUUAUGGCUUGAAUAUCUCCAUGCUAUGUCUUUGUGAGUAUAACACUAUAGCCCAGCAUGCUGGAACUGUAUUCAGGGUCAGGGUCUCUAGACACUCUUGAGAUAAAAUAAAAUAUUUAAUAACCCAUACCAAGAAGCUGAAUUUAAAAAUAAUUGCAAAACUGCAGCUAGUGGAAUAUGACAUUUGCCCCAGAGUACCUGCAUGUUGUUUGCGCCGCCACAGCUGCUAUAAGACCGUUGUACAUAAAGUGUGCUUGAGCUAUUGCUCAGCCCUUGCCUGUUGCUAGAGCCAAACUCACAGAGAUGAAAAUGCUCACAGAGUUUGUCUUGACACAUGGUGUACCUAGAGCUGGUGCCAGGCACCAGUUAACAAGAAGAUGAAGAUUUUUAGUUGUCUGAAGAGGUUUAUGUGUUGUUUCCAAUGAAUUAAGAGUAGAAAUCUGAUUUAAAAGACUAGUUUAUCAACCCUAGAAUGUGACUGGAAUUUUAAGUACCAUGAAGAAAUGUAAUCUUAAGGCCUAACUAAACAAGUUGGCAUGUAGUAAUGUAAGGGGUGAAUUUAGAGGGUUUUAGUUCCGUCAGGGUAACCACAUGUGUGCAUGCCCUGGCUCCCUGAAUUAUGUAAGGUAGCCCUUACUUUCAUUGAAGUUUGUAAUGUGUUUAAAACGAAAGUUACAAUAUAUAAACAUGCAUACUAAUAGCCUAAAAUGUAUAUCCACCCAGAAUAUAUAGGAAUUUUUUUCUUCUUUUAAAUGUCAUCAUUGACUAAUAGGUUGGCAAUGUCUUAUUUGGAAUCAUCAAAUCCAGGGAUACUUAUGAAAAGAUGUAAAGUAGAACCACUGAGAUUUUUUUUUGUUGUUGAUGAGCCCUUUCUGUUAAAAAUUUUAAUUAGUCAAACCUAUAACCUUUUCAGGGGAAGGAUUUGGUUUAGAUUAGUUUCUCACUAAAUUUUUCUUACUUUGUUUGCAAAUUGUUGAAUCCUUCUCGUUUUGAUAAUUAAAAAGUUACAAAAUUAUGAUUUGAAAUUUUUCUUUUAUAUUCAAAUUUAAGCUAUUUUAUACAAAACAAAGUAAUCAAAGUCAGCAGUAAUAAAAUAAUUUAACUGGCCUAAGAUUCUAUUUCUCAGGUUUUAUUUGUCAGUGUUUCUGGAAAUUAAUUUUAGAUGCUGAUUUAAGCUGCAGAGGUUCUUAUUGAAAGUCUUUUUAGUUUGAAGCUUUUUUCCAAUAACCUACCUAAGGAUGCUAGGAAAGCUAAGCUCUUCCAGCAGAACUUUUUCUUUCAGGACUGGAGCUGCACCUACAAGUAAGAAGUACCAGUCUUUUGGCUGUUCUAUCCUAAUCCCAGGUUAACAUCACAGUUAGAAAAAAAAAAGAUACUGAUAGGAAAGAUGAGGAAAAGAGUAUGGUAAGUCUCAAGAAUUAUAUCUGAGAGAGGCACCAGUGACAGAGAACAUGAAAGGAACUAGAUCUAUCUUACGUCUCUCUGCCUGAACAUGAUCCUAAGGUGAGGUUGUGUAUAUGAAUUUCUAUUCUGAAGGGUGAAGAAUGAGAUGCGUUUGGAAUUUGGCCCCAAUGGGAAAAUAUAAUUGAGGAAGUCACUAGACCAACAUCAGAAUAAGAAUAAAAUUUCUUGCCAAAAGUUUUGGAUUCAUUCACCAUGACAUGAAUGUAAUACUUCUUAAGGUAGAUAAGAAUCAAGUCUGUCAUGUUUCAGAUAUUGUACCAAACUUAACUGCAGGAUUAGAAGUCUCCCAUCUUUAAUAUUAAUGACCUACUGAAAAGGGGUCAAGUUGGAAUACUUCUUUACUGAUUAAACAGCACCUGACAUUGCUUUAAGCUAAAUUAAUAAAAAGAAUGUUCGUUUUUUCCUGUUGACUUAUUUCUACACUUCCUAUGGUAUUUCCUGCCAUAUGCUGUAGCUAUGUUCUAACAUAGUUUUUUUGAAAACUGUUGUAGUAUUCAUACAUUUGAGUAAUUUACUGGCAAAAUCAGCUGCUGAUUUACUGGUGGGCAAAACCAGAGCGCUAAGUGAGAUUUUGUUUCUCCCUAUUGCCCUGACUCAAUUAUAGCUUAACACUGUGAAAUAUUAUAACAUCUGCUUUGCAGCUGCACUGCACAUCUUUUCCAUUCAGUGAGGGUUGCAAUAAGCAGCAGUCAAGUAAGUGUUGUACCACCCCUUUGUCGGUAGGACAGUAAGGUAGUGAUUUAGUCUCGGUGUCUUCUACUGGGGUGCUCAAGUAACAGAACUUCAUGUUUGUCACUAAAAAUUUCUGUAUUUUAGACACAGGUCUGAUUCACAGCAUAUUGAAAGCAAUGUUGCUGUUUUGUCCUUAAGCAGACCCAAACUAAAACAGAACUAAAAAAAUUCUCUGCUAAAAGCAUUUCAGCGCCUGAACCAAGGAACCUUCAAGCCCACACACGAACCUCUGUUACUUAAGCUAAGCAAGCAUCUAUGCCAGAUGGUAGUUAGAAUAAGCUGCUCUUCUGUGCGUGGACUACCCAGAACACAGGAAUGAGAAAGAGGGUUAAAAUUCCCUAUCUUAUAAGCACAUUAUGAAGGCGGGAGAUUAACAUACAAAAUUUUCUAACGACUCGAUGAGUAUGCCUACACUGUUCUGAAAAAGUGGUCUCAAGAGAAAUGCUGAAGUGCCUGCAGACAGCUUACAAGGCUGCCUCACGCAUGCAACUGCCUGCUGGGGCACGUAACAUUGCCAGUGAGCCCACAGGCAGCCUCAGGCCAUAGCAGGGGCAGUGCUACCAUGGGUGCUAUUGCAUGGUUGAUCAACCUGUUCUUGAGUCACUGGAGGCAGACUAAAUUAGGUGAUAUUCCCUACUAAUUCCCUCAAAAAUGUUCAUUUACAGAAGCAGCUACAUAAAACAAAGUGAUGGCCCAGCAGUACUUUCAGUCCAUGAAAGUGCAACUAUUGUGAGAAGAGAAUAAUGCUUCAAAGACAUACGACAUCCAAGAAAAUGAUACUUGUUUUCUUUGGAUCAAUUUGGCCUUGAAAUGAAAUUGCUCCUUAUUCAACUGACAGGAUAACUCUAAGGAGAUCGAUGCAGAAUUUUCAGUGCUCCUGGUGUUGGCUGACGCCAUGUGAUUUUCAGAAAUACUGGCAGUUAUUUUAAUGGAAGAAGUGAAAAAGUGAACUGAAAUGACAAUCCUAUUAAAUAAAUCUGAGUGAAAGUAGUGCCAUUUUUUGCUAGCUCACAGACAUUUGGUUUCUGGAAUAAGAGGUAAUGUGCUUUUCUCUGUGUGUUGAAAAGUGUAUUCCUUGUAUUGAUUGAUAAAUUUGUACAGAAUGCCAUAGCUUUCUCAAGCUCAGCUGGAUGGUGUUUGGCCUCCUGAAUUUGUGUCUAGAAUGGUUCUUCUAAACUCUUUCAGAUUUCUAAAACAUGUUGGGGCUAGCAUGAAUAACUAAAAGAAUACAGUUUCAUGCAAAACAGAGUCCAUUAGAUAUUUUGUUUGUAUAUGUGCUUGUGUCAUCCAGAAAUUCAGGACCAUGUCCAUUUUAGAAGCUUUUGCAUUAUCUGUCUUGAUGUUAGUAGGAAGGAAUAUUUCUACAAAACCUCAUAUACCAUAUCACUGUUUACUGAAACUUAAGAUUCUGUCAAGUUAAUAUUUUGUUCUGUGUUGCUAUUUUUGUGCAGAUUAACUGUUAUCUGUGCUGUGUUUCUUUAUUACUUUCUGUGCUCUGUUAGUCUUUCUCAUUUCAGUUUAAUUGGUCUUUGAAAACUGUCAAACUGACUUGGAAAUAUAUGAAUGAAAUUAGGUGAUAAAUAUGUCAAAAAAUUUUUUAAGAAGGUGGGAGUUGACACCUAGAAUUUCACUCUCAGGUUUUCUUCUGGAUGUAGGGAAGUGACAAGCAAGGGAA